rnacentral:rRNA from 1 species
CACGUAGGGGCCAAGCGUUGUCCGGAUUUAUUGGGCGUAAAGAGCUCGUAGGCGGUUCGACAAGUCGGGUGUGAAAACUCCGGGCUCAACCCGGAGACGCCACCCGAUACUGUCGUGACUGGAGUCCGGUAGGGGAGUGGGGAAUUCCUGGUGUAGCGGUGAAAUGCGCAGAUAUCGGGAGGAACACCGGUGGCGAAGGCGGUUCUCUGGGCCUUACCUGACGCUGAGGAGCGAAAGCGUGGGGAGCGAACAGG